ACACCCCAAGACCUAUACACAGUGUACAUAACAGCUAAAAUGUACUGAGCAGUUAUGUUCUGUUAAGCAUUUUAUAUAUGCAUUUGAUCUUCACAACCACCAUGUGAAAUUAUGAGAGAAUUGUUUUUAUUUUUGCCUGCAGGCAUCCAUCUCCCUCACCCUCCAUCAACCACCCUGUAAUUUCACCUUGGUACUAGUCCUGCAGAAGUAUCUGGGGACCUGCUCUGUGUAUGGCAAAGGGCUGAACACAUAUCCUAUGACAGUCCAAUUGGACACCUUCUCUGGAACUUGAAUCUUGAAUAGACGACUGAGAAAAACUUAGCAACCAUUUGCUCAUGUUCAUCUAGGUGGUGUUCUCCUGAGAAGACUUCCAUAGAUUUGUUACCUGCCUCUGAUGAGCAGCUUUGGGACCUGCUCUAUCCCAUGCUGGUUUCUUCAGAUGCUCCUCUGAAUCUGUAAGAUUUCUCAUAUCCUUGCAAAAACAUUGUUCUUUAUAAAGUUGCCCAAGUUUGAUUUCUCCCACUUCCCACCAAAAAAUCCAUAACUAAUGUAGGAAUACAUAGAAAUAUACAAGUAUUAUUCUAUUUUGCAGAGACAAACUGAAACUUACUGAAAUGAACUGACUUGCUCAAGAUCACCCAGGCAAUAAGAAAUCAUCAGGUCUCCAUAACACUAAAGUUUUUGUCUGAUAAUAAAAUCACCAAAGAAACAUUUUAAAUUACUGUAAAGUAUAAAGAAGAUCCAGUAUCAUGAAGACAACUGAACAUCCUUCCCUGAGGAUCUAUUCUCUGCUUCUACAGAGCUUAGAAGGAUGACUCAUUUGCCCCCCAGUUACUCUUCUUAAAUAUACCUAGUAAUUCACUUGUGACUCUUAAUGAUAAGCAUAUAUGAUUGAAGUAACUCAUAUUUCCAAAGACUAUUCAAUUCAUAAAACUCUUUCACAUCCAGUAUCAGUUUUGUCCCUGUGAGGGAGACCGGGAAGGUUAGUGUCAUUAGCAUCACUGUAGAAAUGUAGACCUUGGGUUCCACAGCACAAAGCAGUGGGGAGUAAAGUCACGACUAAGACCAGGUCUUCAAUUCCUAGAUCUUUUCCUCUUCAUUAAAUUACUUUACUGAUGUUGCUAGUGUACAGAAAUAUAAAAUGAUUCCACAUGGGGUAAGAAAGUUCUGGAAUAAUGUUAAGAGACUUGAUAGCAAAUGCAAGGACUCUAUUUUUAGAAUGAGACUGAUUUACAUUUGAUGGCUUUUAAUUGCAGUCAUCCAUCAGUUUUAAACUUUAAAUGUCUAAAUAUAAAGACGCGGCAAUAUAACUGAGCCAGCUGCAUUUUUACACAGCGCAUGAAUUGAUGAGUUUAUGAAUGAGUGAAGUGAUGGAAAUCAACAGCAAGAUUAAGAAUAUCCCAACCCAUUUCAACUGCCUAAGCCAUACAUCAGUACCUUGGAGAGCUUCCAACUUUAAGUCACCCCCCCCUUCUCAAAAA